rnacentral:lncRNA from 1 species
UGUGGCUGUGGUGUAGGCCGGCAGCUGUAGUUCUGAUUUGACCUCUAGCCUGAGAACUUCCAUAUGCCGCAGGUGCGGACCCACAAAGAAAAUACGAAACAAAAACAAAAACCCCAUAAGCUAUGUAUGGAUAAGUAGGAGCCGUGAAUUGACAGAAGUGUGAGUCAGCAGAAACUGAUAACAGAGAGUAGAGUGGGGACUGCAGAGAAACAGGCCAACACCCAGAGGUGCCAGGCCCCGUGAUGGUGGAGCCACAGCACAGAGCUAGUGUGUCCCUGCUGAGGGGCAUCCACACGUGUUCCCCUGAGUUACAGUAGAUGCUCUCAGGUGACUAGAGCUGCUGCUGCCACAGAAAGCUAACUUUGAUCUUUCCAAUCUUGUUAUGAAACCUGAGACUUAUUUCUCUUCCUUGCAACCUACUAAGCCCUGACGGACAACCCCAGACACAUCAAAGCAAAGACUCAGUUUCCUCACCUGCAAAAUGCUCACCGCUGUGGCUUUCAGGUUCAGCAUCCAUCCCUUCCUUGGGUUGAUGACUUUUAUCUGAAACAUUGCACUUCUGGGCCUGCCAAUCUUGGACCCCACCUCCAAGGGCCACAAAAAGCAGGCUUCUGGGACAGACUCCAUUGCAGGUAUGGGCCUCUUUUGCAGAGACACCUCCACAGCAGGGGUUGGAACCCUGGAGAGCUCCUGGAUCCCUCUGGCUAGGAUGUUAUGAGCUGUCCUGGUUCCUGUUUUCCAAGGCCUGUUUAUUCAGCUCUUUUAUUCUGGGACUUUCUAAAUUGCCUUUUAUGGAGCCCCGUUUCUGUUUUAAGUAAUAAGGCUAAAUGGACACACCCCUCACAGGGUUGAUUUGAAGUGAAAUAAGUGACUCCUAGACAGAUGUUCCUUCCUGCUCCUGGUUUUUCCCUUCAUCUGCCUUCUCCUGCUCCACCUGAGCUAACAUUUCUGGGCUCAGUGUACCAGAGUUCUUACACUGUUCUCCUCUCUUGAAUGAAUAUUCUAAGUUAACCCCCCCACCCCCCACCCCCGCCCCGCAACUUCCGUGGCCUUUAGUCCUUCCUAAAAGCCUUUUCACGCUUCAGUUUCUGUGUACUCUAAGCGCUAAGACAAACAGGGCUCCUCCGCAGUACCGGAGGUAUCCCAGUAGGUGGCAGCACAUGACCACAAAUGUCCUGAAAUAGCCCAAGGCCAGCCUGGUGGGAGGGCGAGUGAGAUACUUGGGGCUGAGUAUUUAUUAGUUGCGGCAGAGGUGACUAAGAGGGAAGAGGAAGGAAAGUGGGCACCUGCUGGCUUUGAGGAAACAGAGUUGUUUGAGGUUUGGAAGACAGGAGUAGUUGGAGCACCCAGUCCAUGGACCAUCCAUCCAUCCAAUGAAUGUUUUUGAGCAUAUGUACUAGGCUCUGGAGAUGCAGUAGUGAACCAGACAGAUACAGGCAGCCCCAGCCCUUGUUGAGCUGGCACCUAACUUUGAGCCAUCCUUUGUGUGUGUGUGUGUGUGUGUGUGUGUUUAGGCCCCACCUUUGGCAUGGAAGUUUCCAGGUUAGGGGUCCAACUGGAGCUGUAGGGCUGGAACCUGCAUCCUCACAGACACUAUGUCGGGUUCUUCACCUGCUGAACCACAAAGGGAACUCCCACAGCCCUAUUCUUACUAGGUGCUCCCCAGUUGCUUUCCAAGUUUGCUGACAUCAUUUGCAUCCUCACCUGCAGUGAGUGAGCUAAUAAUGACUGUUUCACAGGAGCAAGUGAAUCCAAGUCCCUGCAGCCCAAAGCCGGAGCCCUCAUCCUCUGCUCAAAGGACCUCCAGUGGCCCAGCCCUUGGCCACAGACACAGACGGCUGGGCUGUGGCAGGUUUGAAGUGCUUUGUGUCCUUAGGUGGCAGUGUGGUACAGCUGCAAAGGCACUGGGCUGAGAGUGGGAAAACCUGGAUUCUAGCUGAGACAUGGACUCAACUUCCCCGUGUGUCUGCACUGUCACUUUCCCACACUGAGCCUCGGGACCCCCUUGAAUGCUGGGAGCCGAGGUCCUGAGCAGGGUUCUUUCUGACACUCACCCAGGUGGUCAGAGCACGGGUUCCAGAGCCUGGUUCUGUGUCUUUUUUUGUGCCUUGGCCCCAUCUUAGAGUAAUGUGGUUUUUUUUCUUUUUUCUUUGUUUUUUUGAUUUUUAGGGCUGCACCCACAGCAUAUGGAAGUUCCAAGGCUAGGGGUCAAAUAGGAGCUACAGCUGCCAGCCUACACCACAGGUCACAGCAACGCCGGAUCCCUGACCCACUGCACAAGGCCAGAAAUCAAACCCACAUCCUCAUGGAUACUAGUCAGAUUCGUUUCUUCUGUGCCACAAUGGGAAUUCCUACAAUGGGUUUUUUGUUUGUUUUUACAGCUGCCUGUGGCAUAUGGAAUUUCCAGGCCUAGGAGUCAAAUCAGGGCUGCAGCUGUAGCCUACACCACGACCAUGGCAACACCCAUUCCGAGCUGUACCUAUGGGCUACAUCUUGAGCAACCCCAAUCCUUAACCCACUGAGUGAAGCCAGGGAUCGAACCUGCAUCCUCAGAGAAAACUUUGGGUCCUUAACCCACUGAGACACAAUGGGAACUCCAGAGAGUAAUAUUUCUUAAAAACAUAAAAUCCAUAAGAUUACAAAGUCAACCAUAUACAAAUAUGCAUGUACACACACACAUAUAUAUAUGUGUAUGUAUAUAUGAAUAUAUAUAUUAUAUUGAGGUUUAAUCAUUGUAGGAGUUCUUGUUGUGGCUCAGUGGUAACAAACCCAACUAGCACCAUGAGGACGUGAGUUCGAUCCCUGGCCUCACUCAGUGGGUUAAGGAUCCAGCAUUGCUAUGAGCUGUGGUGUAGGUCGCAGACGUGGCUCGGAUCCUGCGUUGCUGUGGCUCUGGUGCAGGCUGGCAGCUACAUCUCUUAUUUAAUCCCUAGCCUGGGAUCUUCCAUAUGCCGUAAGUACAGCCCUAAAAAAAAUAAAAAAAAUAAAAAAUAAAGUAAAAAAUAAAUAAAUAAAAAGAAAAUGUGGUAUAUAUUAAAUACAAGGAGAUACUGUUCGCUCUUAAAAA